rnacentral:snRNA from 1 species
UUGCUUAAGCAGUACAUAUACUAAAACUGGAACAAUACAGAGAAGAUUAGCAUGGGCCCCGUGCAAGGAUGACAUACAAAGUGGUGAAGUGUUUCACAUUUUU